rnacentral:rRNA from 1 species
GGCCCAGAUCGUUUACCGUGAAAAAAUAAGAGUGUUCAAAGCAGGCAGAGCCAAUUCUGCCACCGAAUACAUAGCAUGGGAUCAUGGAAUAGGCCCUGUCCUCGUAUUUUCAGUUGGUUUGUAGCGUAGGAUAGGGUAUUGAUUAAUAGGGAUAGUUGGGGGCAUAAUAUUUAAUUGUCUGAGGUGAAAUUCUUUGAUUAUGAAAGAUAAUCUUGGAAAGCAUUGCCAAGGAUGUUUCUUAAUCAGAAGAAAGUUAGGGGAUCAAGAGAUCAGAUACCGUCAGUCUAACCAUAACGAUGCCGACCAGCGAUGGGACGGAAUACAAAACACCACCAUGGGUGCGGUCGUCCUGGCGUCUCGGUCCUUCACGGGCCGGGGCGCGGGGGCGGUGCCCGCUUGACACCG